GUGCAGCAGGCGCGAAAACUUUACAAUGCCGGCAACGGCGAUAAGGGGACCUCGAGUGCCAGGUUACAAAUCUGGCUGUCGUGAUGCCUAAAAAGCAUUGCAUAGCAAGGGCCGGGCAAGACCGGUGCCAGCCGCCGCGGUAACACCGGCGGCUCGAGUGGUAACCGUUAUUAUUGGGUCUAAAGGGUCUGUAGCCGGCCGGAUAAGUCUCUUGAGAAAUCCAGCAGCUCAACUGUUGGGCUUUCAGGAGAUACUGUUCGGCUCGAGGCCGGGAGAGGUGAGAGGUACUUCAGGGGUAGGGGUGAAAUCUUGUAAUCCUUGAAGGACCACCAGUGGCGAAGGCGUCUCACCAGAACGGACCUGACGGCAAGGGACGAAAGCUAGGGGCACGAACCGGAUUAGAUACCCGGGUAGUCC
rnacentral:rRNA from 2 species